rnacentral:rRNA from 1 species
UACGGGAGGCAGCAGUGGGGAAUAUUGGGCAAUGGAGGAAACUCUGACCCAGCGACGCCGCGUGCGGGAUGAAGGCCUUCGGGUUGUAAACCGCUUUCAGCAGGGAAGAAGCGAAAGUGACGGUACCUGCAGAAGAAGCACCGGCUAACUAUGUGCCAGCAGCCGCGGUAAUACAUAGGGUGCAAGCGUUGUCCGGAAUUAUUGGGCGUAAAGAGCUCGUAGGUGGUUCGUCACGUCGGAUGUGAAAAUCUGGGGCUUAACCCCAGACCUGCAUUCGAUACGGGCGAGCUUGAGUAUGGUAGGGGAGUCUGGAAUUCCUGGUGUAGCGGUGGAAUGCGCAGAUAUCAGGAGGAACACCAAUGGCGAAGGCAGGACUCUGGGCCAUUACUGACACUGAGGAGCGAAAGCGUGGGGAGCGAACAGGAUUAGAUACCCUGGUAGUCCACGCCGUAAACGGUGGGCACUAGUUGUGGGGACCUUCCACGGUCUCUGCGACGCAGCUAACGCAUAAGU